AGGGCGAUAUCGGCCUUCCGGGUCUUCCAGGCCUACCGGGAGAGAAAGGUGAAAGGGGUUUCGUCGGAGCUCCGGGUGACCAGGGGCUGGUCGGACACGAAGGACCUCCGGGUGACGAUGGAGCUACAGGGCUGCCCGGACUUCCAGGAGAGAUGGGUCCACGAGGAUUUCCAGGCCCCCGGGGAUUCGUAGGACUUCAAGG
rnacentral:lncRNA from 1 species